rnacentral:misc_RNA from 1 species
AAACCGCGAUAGCUGUUGUGAGGCGCGGAAACCUGUGGAUCAUCGAGUUUUUGAACGCAUCUUGUGGCCCUUGGCAACCAUAGGCCAUGCCCGUUUGAGUAUCAUUUAUUAUAGUCAUUAUUCUCCUUAGUAGCCCAAUAGUGGCUUGGCGGUUAACUCAUCCGCUUAAAUGUUAGACUGGAGUGGGGGGAAGACUUGUUUAAUAUCAUUGAACAGAUACUACAUAGCCUACCAGGACCACAUCAAUUAUGAUCUCAAAUCGGGCAAGAAUACCCGCCUAAUUUAA